rnacentral:rRNA from 1 species
GACGAACGCUGGCGGCGUGCUUAACACAUGCAAGUCGAACGGUGAACCUCUUCGGAGGGGAUCAGUGGCGCACGGGUGAGUAACACGUGGGCAACCUGCCCCCGGCUCUGGGAUAACUCCAAGAAAUUGGGGCUAAUACCGGAUGUUCACCGCUUCCCGCAUGGGUGGUGGUGGAAAGGGUUUCCGGCUGGGGAUGGGCCCGCGGCCUAUCAGCUUGUUGGUGGGGUAGUGGCCUACCAAGGCGACGACGGGUAGCCGGCCUGAGAGGGUGACCGGUCACACUGGGACUGAGACACGGCCCAGACUCCUACGGGAGGCAGCAGUGGGGAAUAUUGCGCAAUGGGCGGAAGCCUGACGCAGCGACGCCGCGUGGGGGAUGACGGCCUUCGGGUUGUAAACCUCUUUCAGCAGGGACGAAGCGCAAGUGACGGUACCUGCAGAAGAAGCACCGGCCAACUACGUG